rnacentral:rRNA from 1 species
ACGGAGGGGGCUAGCGUUGUUCGGAAUUACUGGGCGUAAAGCGCACGUAGGCGGCUUUGUAAGUUAGAGGUGAAAGCCCGGAGCUCAACUCCGGAAUUGCCUUUAAGACUGCAUCGCUUGAAUCAUGGAGAGGUGAGUGGAAUUCCCGGUGUAGCGGUGAAAUGCGUAGAGAUCGGGAGGAACACCAGAGGCGAAGGCGGCGACCUGGACAAGCACUGACACUCAACUGCGAAAGCGUGGGGAGCAAACAGGA